GGGUGUGUGGCCUAAUGAAUAAGGCACCAGACUUUGGAUCUGGGGAUUGCAGGUUCGAGUCCUGUCACGCUCG
rnacentral:tRNA from 1 species